rnacentral:lncRNA from 1 species
AUGUUGAAAUCCAGAGACAAGAUAACUUCAUUCUUUUUUUUGAUGCAAAAACAGUAUGAUUUUAUAUAUAUAUAUAUAUAUAUAUGUAUGUAUGUAUAUGUUAAUAUUUUAUUGAAGCCAUUGAUGUCCCUUUUUGUAGAUGUUAAAAGCAAGAGACAUGGGAGAGCAUCAUUCCUUUGAGAUUUUAUGUAAGUUAUUUUUAGAAAAUACAUUUUUCUGUUGUCUCCUGCCGGUUUACUUCACAUUUUGAUGCAACAACAGUAUGAUUACAUGCUCAUUUCAUUAAGACCAUUGAUGUCUGUGUUUUUUAUUGCAGAAAUCAAACCAACUUUGGAGUUGUCUUGUCUGAUUUGGAGAGUCAUUAUUCUUGGUCUUCGCUCUUAGAGGUAAAGUUCACACAAAAAAUCAUUUACUUGCCCUCAAGUCAUUCCAAACCUAUAAGACUUUUGUCUGUCUUUACAACAUAAAUAAAUAUAUUUUUAGUUUUCUCAUAAUAUUUGUUAAUCCAUUUAUAGUUUAGAUAAUCAGUAUUUUCAAGCUUCAUAAAUAUAGAGUUAUUGUAGAAGUAAAUUCUGAUAUUUAUAUAUGAAUACAUCUUAAAUUAUAUGAUAGCAAACAUGUAUGUUCAAAAUAAAAUACUGGUCUCCCAGACCAGCAAUGGAGGACACAAAAAGAGAAUAUUAAAUAUAUUCAUACGUUUUCCAAAAAAUUAGCAGAUUUUGUAUGAGUCUGGAAAAACAUGAGGAGAGUAAAUUAUAAACAUUUUAAUUAUUUGGUGAACUAACAGUUUGAAGAGCAGCCCUCCAUCUACAUGAAUAUUGUGAGGUAUGUGAAUGUCAUGUCUGUUUUAAUGUUUCAGUAAAGAAGCUGCCCUCACAGUAGUGGUGCCAUUAUAGCCUCCUGGAGCGCUGUGGUGGACUGAGACAUUAAACAACCGCACAAAGUGUUAAAACUUUAAAACCGAUUAUUUACCUAUCCUUACGGAUGUGAAUACACCUCUACCUGAAAAUGGAUAGUUUAAUUAAAUGUUUAAUUUUUUCAAAUGUGUUUCUCUUAGGCCACUGAUGAAGAGCAGGCAGUGACUGGAUGAAUGCUGGUCAGAGAGGAGAAUCUUCUUUCCCCUAAACUGAUGCAGCGGUGGUUUUAAAGGAGGACGCUGCCCUGGAUGAUGUAGAAGAUGUCAGAUGCUGUGCUGAUGGGGUUUCUUCAUGAUAACAUCAGUUAUGCUAAAGAGAUCAUGAAAAUUGACCGUGAUGCAUGAUCUGUAUUCAUGGACUAUGAAACAAACUGUAAGUGUAUAAUUUGUUAAAAAAAAAAAAAGUUAAAUGCUUUUUCUGUGUUGUUUAGUAGAAGAGUUUACACUCUGUCAUUCAUACACCUGCUCACAUUCUUUCACUCACACACACACACACACGCGCGCGUCUGUUAAAUGUUAUAAUAUCAAAGUUAAUGUUGUGAUUUAUUUGUGUACUGUCAUGCCAGAAUAGUUAAAUUUAAAUAUGUAAAUUUAUUGUAUGUGUUUUUGUAUAUUUUUAUACAAUAUAUACAAUUGAACAAAGUCCAAUUUGAUCUUAAGUUAUAUUCAUCAAAUGUUCAAUGCUUUGUUUAUGAACUCCGUAGCUGUUAAUGCCAUCCUUUUCUGCAUUUCUUCUAACAUUGUUACUUUUUGACUUUUCUCUUGUUUUUAAUAAAUAUUUUCCUUUUGAUAAUUAUUAUUUGUGUGUAAAAGUGAUAUUUAAAAUGAACAACAUUUGUAGGUUUAAUGCCUAGCUCAAUUUGGGUUAAUUUGAACGUAGAAAUGCAUUGUUUCCCCACAUGGCUGCACUCUGCGAGUUUAUUUUCUGCCAGCAGGAGGCGCUAAGAGCGGGAGAGGUAGGUUUCUCCGGUAACGGCUGCAGAGCGGUACUGAGCUCACAAACGCUGCCUUAUCAAGCACAUGCGAAAUGAUAUCGAACAUUUUCUAAAUACAGUAGUUUUCCUUCUGAAAUACAGUGAUAAAAAAACACCCGCUCUGUUUUUUUAAACCCUGCAAUAUAGUCAUUUUAAACCAUAAAAAAGGCAACCCAGCAGGCUGGGUUAAAUAUGAUAACCCACCUGGUUGGGUUAAAACAACCCAGCGCUGGGUUCGUCCCUUUUUGACCCAGCGCUGGGUUGUCAAAAUAACCCAAAUUGGGUUGUUUUCAACCCAGCAGUUUUUAGAGUGUAUAUAUAUAUAUAUAUAUAUAUAUAUAUAUAUAUAUAUAUAUAAUAUAAAAUAUUAUAUAUAUAUAUAUAUAUAUAUAUAUAUAUAUA